rnacentral:rRNA from 1 species
UCAUGACUGGGGUGAAGUCGUAACAAGGUAGCGCUAGGGGAACCUGGCGCUGGAUCACCUCCUUAAACGAUGAU